rnacentral:misc_RNA from 1 species
AAGUCGUAACAAGGUUUCCGUAGGUGAACCUGCGGAAGGAUCAUUAACACGUAUCCACGUAUCAACCCCAUGUGCUCUUUUGGUCUCGUACCCUGCCAGUUAGAAAAAGUUGGAAUGACAGCCGAAUGGUGAGAAAACCCCCUUUAAACGGGGCUUUCUUGGCUGGCAUUCCGCAUAGCUUCUUCGCUUUUGGCAGGCUUUUUUGUUUCUUUCACCAUUGGGAGCAACCCCCUUUUAUUUUACUAUAAACCCCUUGUACCUUUAUUGAUACUGAUUCAAUGUUUAACCGGCUGGAAACGGCUUGUUGAUCAAUGAUACGAAACGCUUGACAACUCUUAGCAACGGAUAUCUUGGCUCUC